AAAAAAAAGGGAAGACAAUUUCAAAUAAACUAGAAAGAGUCCAACAAGUAGUAAAGAUGAGAGAAAGAGAAUGGGAGAAGAUAGAAAAUAAAGUAUGAGGAGAGAUUAGAGGAGCAUGAGUGUUGAAAUGGAAAUGGAAAUAUGGGCAGUGUGUGACUUUUUAUCACCAGCAACCCUAAUUCUGAUGACUUCCAAUUGCGUCAACACCAGAUUUUAGAAGAUCAAGAAAUUCCAAGUCUACUGGUAGUGUCUUUUGCCAAUAGAAGUGCCUGCCAGCGGUGGAAAUAAAUAAGGCAAGCCUUUCUAAAGCCUUGUGCUUGGAACAAGGAGCACACUUAGCCUGUUAAAGGUCGCUUGCCUUUCUCUUGUAACGGAGUGCCUAAAGCAUGCCUUUAAUAACACUGAUUAUCAUCAUAAAAUACCAUUUUCACUGAUCACUUUGCUUCUCAUUGCCAGCAUCAUUGCCAUCAUAAUUGGCAUAUCAGUUAUUACUAUCGUUUUUAUCAUUACCUAUGCCAGUAUUUUGCAUGUAUUUUACACGCCUAUGCAACUAUCAAGCCCAUUAACUAACUUAUGAUACAAGUAUACAACAGUCAACGCAUUCAAAUUUCUUGGAAGAUAAGAAUAACCAACUUAGAUUUCUGUGCCUUGUUCUCAGAUUUCACAAAUCCUAAGACUGAACAAUUCUUAAUAAAACUUUUAAGGGACAAAAAGGGCGUUGGGAAAUAAUUGCUAUUUACGAAAUUCAGUUGCUUAUGAAGUUUAGGUAAGUCACAAGUCCAUGUCAACUUUAUGCACUUUAUUAGGUGUUUAUUGAACUAUUUACAACUCAGGAAUCCUAUUCUUAUUUAGAAUAGAGAAAAAUUUAGUUAGCAAAUUGGCAUCAAUAUUCAUUACACCAACUUUCAUUAGAAACCAGUGUCCCCUAAGCAUUGACAACCAACUUCUAUCCCCCUUGCUCUUUUAUCAACUUUCAUACAUAGACCUUCAACCACCAAUUUGACAGCUCAAAGAAAGCCUACCAUUAGCCAUUAUUAGAUCCAUCAAAAAUAAUAAUAAAAUAAACUUUUCCUUCCAAGCUCCCCAGACCAAGAAACCAACCCAUACAUACACUUGAUAAAUGUAAUCCACUACAUAAAUAUCCCGAAAAUUUUGAUGCAAUAGAAUCUAGAAGUCUUUCAACCUUACAGCCACUACUUUUAAACAAUGAUAGAUAUUUUGGGUAAAUUUCACUCAUUGUCUCUCAACUUAAGUGGUUAUUUCAUGACCGUCCCUCAACUUCAAUUGCUUUCUUAAAAAUCUCUCAACUUCAAUUUGAGAGUCACUAUGACCAGAUAUUACAGUUUUUCAGGUUAACCCUGCUGAAUUAGAAUCAUUUUGCCAAAAAAAAGGGAAAUUACCUUCCUACUGAUGUGGAACCAAUAGACAUUAACGAGAUUUGGGGAAGGUCAAUAGCUAGAAACUGUUCAGAUAUGGUUGGGUUUCAAAUCGAGUUGUUUCUGACCCAAUAAGACCUGGCAAUCCAUCAAGCAGUCCGUCAAGUUUUAACAGACUUGCCUGAGGCCGAGAAGAGGAUUGGUGGCAGCAGCGCUACUCCGGAAGGCCCGUGGUGAUGGCUUGGUGAAGGAUAGUGUUGGCAAUGCUUGGCGAAGGUUUUUUUGGGGCUCUUUUUUUA
rnacentral:misc_RNA from 1 species